AUUGAACGCUGGCGGCAUGCUUUACACAUGCAAGUCGAACGGCAGCACGGACUUCGGUCUGGUGGCGAGUGGCGAACGGGUGAGUAAUACAUCGGAACGUGCCCAGUCGUGGGGGAUAACGUAGCGAAAGCUACGCUAAUACCGCAUACGAUCUAAGGAUGAAAGCGGGGGAUCGCAAGACCUCGCGCGAUUGGAGCGGCCGAUGGCAGAUUAGGUAGUUGGUGGGGUAAAGGCUCACCAAGCCGACGAUCUGUAGCUGGUCUGAGAGGACGACCAGCCACACUGGGACUGAGACACGGCCCAGACUCCUACGGGAGGCAGCAGUGGGGAAUUUUGGACAAUGGGCGCAAGCCUGAUCCAGCCAUUCCGCGUGCAGGAUGAAGGCCCUCGGGUUGUAAACUGCUUUUGUACGGAACGAAAAGGCUCUGGUUAAUACCUGGGGCUCAUGACGGUACCGUAAGAAUAAGCACCGGCUAACUACGUGCCAGCCGCCGCCGUAAAAC
rnacentral:rRNA from 1 species